rnacentral:rRNA from 1 species
UACGGAGGGGGCAAGCGUUAUUCGGAAUUAUUGGGCGUAAAGGGCGCGUAGGCGGCCUGGCAAGUGGAAGGUGAAAUCCCUCGGCUUAACCGAGGAACUGCCUCCCAAACUGCUUGGCUUGAGGCCAGGAGAGGUGAGUGGAAUUCCCAGUGUAGCGGUGAAAUGCGUAGAUAUUGGGAGGAACACCAGUGGCGAAGGCGGCUCACUGGACUGGUACUGACGCUGAGGCGCGAAAGCGUGGGGAGCAAACGGG